UCCGCCUCAAUGACUGAUGCUGUUGGAGAUGAACCAACUGAACUUGCUAGAAAAAAUAGAGAUAUUGAAGAGAUUUUAACAGUUGUAGAAGAUGAAAUUCAAUACGAUGAUCCCACCGUCUCUCAAAUAUCAAAAGGUGGCUGAAAGGGAAGUUGGAAGCAUAGAUAGAAGUAAGGACAUUGCCCGAUUGCAAGAGUUCUCGAGAGUUACAGAAAGAAGAAUAAUAAUGUUGUGGAUGAUCAAUUACGUGAGGAGGAAAUGCAGUUCAGGGAAUCUGGCCACAAUCUUGACGAGUUGGAGCGUAAGACUGUAAAGAGGAAAAGGGGUUUUGCUACCUUAAAGGUUUUAGGAACAGUGCUUAAGCAAUUGAGUGAAGAAAUUCCUUAUGAGCGUGUUAUCGAAUCAGAUUCUACAUCGACAGAGGAUCUGAUCACUUACAACAUCAUCCCUAUAGAUGCUACUUCUUCAACAAAUGCUAUUGUCUUUUUUCCUGAGGUGCAAGCAGCAGUUUCAGCUCUCAAGUAUUUCAGUGCCUUUGCCUAAACUACCCAAUGCUUAUUUCAUUUCUCCUACAAAAAGAUAAUGUAGCUAAUCAGCGUGAACACAUAGUUCAUCUUCUCGCGAAUGAGCAAUCUCGGCUUGGAGUUCCAGACAAAACCAAACCCGUAAGUAUUUGAUUCUCGUCACUUUGAGAUUCAUUCGCCUUAUUGAAUUUCCUCAAGUUUUUCUUGUUAAGUGCUUUAUUUGCAAAAUGUUACAUCAUUUACCGAAUGAAGUGAGUUUAAUAAAUAUUCAAAAUUUUAAACAUAAGUAUGGUUUAUUCUUUGUUUAUGUGAUCAAAUGAUACAUAAAAAACUAGGUGGUUUUAAAGUGAUUAAGCUCAUAGCCAUAGUAGGAGAGAGACAAUGCAGUAUAGAAAACAAAUUUGGUUUAUGCUCUUUAAGUUGACCUUGGAAGCAAGAUACCUGCUACAAAUAUUGAUGGAAUUGGAGAGUAUCAGAGGAAUAAAAAAGAGUUGCUCUAGAUUUUCAUUAAUAUCAUUCAAGUUUAAUAAUAUUCUCUGUAUUAUACUACUAACGCCUGUGUAUUUACAAGAGGUGUCGGAAAUGAAGUUUCUGGUGGCGGAUGAGGAGGAUUUUCACAAGCCAUCAGGAUCAGAGGGUUCUUGAUGCUAUAUGAGGGUUUGAGAAUUCCGAGAGAGAAGAGAGUUCUAAAAGUGUUAGUGAAACUCAUGUUUCCAGAAACUUAAUGAAGCAGCCUUGGAGAAAGUAUUCCUCAAGUCCCUUGAGAAUUACAUAAAUUGGAGCAACUACUUAUGCAUUCAGCCUGUUUGGAGCAGUUUUGAAGCUGUUAAUGAAGGGAAGAAAUUGCUGUAUGUUUCUUUAUACCUCCUAAUAUGGGGUGAAGCUUCCAAUGUUAGAUUUCUACCAGAAUGUUUGUGCUACAUAUUCCAUCAAAUGGCUAGAGAGAUGGAUGAGGUUUUAAGGCAGCAAAUUGCUCAGACAGCCAAUAGUUGCACUUCUGAGGACGGUGUUUCAUUUCUUGAUCAUGUUAUCCUUCCUCUCUAUGACGUUAUUUCUGCAUGCAGUAAUGUCAAAAGAGUAAAUAAGUUCUGUACAUCAGCAGUAGAUGAUACACAUAAUUUUAUGCUGUGGAUGGAUAUGCAUAAAAUCAUUUAACUAUCUUACUUUUUGAACAUGCAUGGCCAUUCAUUUCAGUAAUUAUGUGUCAUCAGAAUCUCUAUUUCUCUUCCAAUUACUUGAAAAUUCACUACUACCUGUGAGCUUUCUCGGCAAGGUAUUGUCAUUCAGUAGACCCUGCAUAAGAAACACGUCAGAAAUACUGUAAUUUUCAUUACAAACAAAAAGUCGUUAUGCAAAUAGACAAUGAUGUUGUACACUUAACUGUGCAAUAACCGUAAUCAAUAAGUUACUCUAUUCCCCUUAUAUACCUGGAAAAAUGUUUUUGUGGCA